UGCCAGCAGCCGCGGUAAUACGGGGGAUGCAAUCGUGAUCCGGAAUCAUUGUGCGUAAAGCGCCUGUAGGUGGUUUAAUAAGUCUGUUGUUAAAGACUAGGGCUUAACCCUAGGAAAGCAAUGGAAACUAAUAGACUAGAGUAUGGCAGGGGUAGAGGGAAUUUCUAGUGUAGCGGUGAAAUGCGUAGAUAUUAGAAAGAACGCCAGUGGCGAAAGCGCUCUACUGGACCAUUACGGAAACUCAGAGGAGAACGCUAGGGUCGCAAAAGGGAGUAGAUA
rnacentral:rRNA from 1 species